rnacentral:misc_RNA from 1 species
AAUUCUCAAUCCCUCCAGCUUUUUUGUUGGGUAAUGGGGCUUGGAUGUGGAGGUGUUUGCCGGCCUUUCAAGGUCGACUCCUCUGAAAUACAUUAGCAGAACUGUUUGCAAUCUGCCGCAGGUGUGAUAAUUAUUUAUGCCAGUGGGGUUGCUCUCUGUAUUGUUCAGCUGCCAACUGUCUGCAAGGACAACCAAUACUGAUU